rnacentral:rRNA from 1 species
AGUGCCUACGGGGGCAGCAGGCGCGAAACCUCCUCAAUACACUAAAGUGUGAAGGGGUUACCUCGAGUGCCAUCUGAAAAAGGUGGCUUUUCCUUGGUCUAAAAAGCCUUGGGAAUAAGAGGGGGGCAAGACUGGUGUCAGCCGCCGCGGUAACACCAGCGCCUCGAGUGGUGGGGAUGAUUAUUUGGCCUAAAGCGUCCGUAGCCGGCCGGGUAAGUUUCCCGUUAAAUCCAACGUCUCAAGCGUUGGACUGCGGGAAAUACUGCCUGGCUAGAGAGUGGGAGAGGUAAGCGGUAUUCUGGGGGUAGGGGCGAAAUCCUUUGAUCCCCGGAGGACCACCAGUGGCGAAGGCUGCUUACUAGAACACGUCUGACGGUGAGGGACGAAAGCUAGGGGAGCGAACCGGAUUAGAUACCCUUGUAGUC